GUGGGGAAUAUUGGACAAUGGGCGAAAGCCUGAUCCAGCCAUGCCGCGUGUGUGAAGAAGGUCUUCGGAUUGUAAAGCACUUUAAGUUGGGAGGAAGGGCAGUAAGUUAAUACCUUGCUGUUUUGACGUUACCGACAGAAUAAGCACCGGCUAACUUCGUGCCAGCAGCCGCGGUAAUACGAAGGGUGCAAGCGUUAAUCGGAAUUACUGGGCGGAAAGCGCGCGUAGGUGGUUUUGUAAGUUGGAGGUGAAAUCCCCGGGCUCAACCUGGGAACUGCCUCCAAAACUGCAUGACUAGAGUACGGUAGAGGGUAGUGGAAUUUCCUGUGUAGCGGUGAAAUGCGUAGAUAUAGGAAGGAACACCAGUGGCGAAGGCGACUACCUGGACUGAUACUGACACUGAGGUGCGAAAGCGUGGGGAGCAAACAGGAUUAGAAACCCUAGUAGUCC
rnacentral:rRNA from 1 species